rnacentral:rRNA from 1 species
GACGAACGCUGGCGGCGUGCCUAAUACAUGCAAGUCGAGCGCAGGAAGCCGUCUGAACCCUUCGGGGGGACGACGGUGGAAUGAGCGGCGGACGGGUGAGUAACACGUAAAGAACCUGCCCAUAGGUCUGGGAUAACCACGAGAAAUCGGGGCUAAUACCGGAUGUGUCAUCGGACCGCAUGGUCCGCUGAUGAAAGGCGCUUCGGCGUCGCCCAUGGAUGGCUUUGCGGUGCAUUAGCUAGUUGGUGGGGUAACGGCCCACCAAGGCGACGAGGCAUAGCCGACCUGAGAGGGUGAUCGGCCACACUGGGACUGAGACACGGCCCAGACUCCGACGGGAGGCAGCAGUAGGGAAUCUUCCACAAUGGACGAAAGUCUGAUGGAGCAACGCCGCGUGAACGAUGAAGGCUUUCGGGUCGUAAAGUUCUGUUGUAAGGGAAGAACAAGUGCCGCAGGCAAUGGCGGCACCUUGACGGUACCUUGCGAGAAAGCCACGGCUAACUACGUGCCAGCAGCCGCCGUAA